GCUGGAAUCGCUAGUAAUCGCGAAUCAGAAUGUCGCGGUGAAUACGUUCCCGGGUCUUGUACACACCGCCCGUCACACCAUGGGAGCCUGAUAUGCCCGAAGUCAGUGGCCCAACCGAGAGGGGGGGAGCUGCCGAAGGUGGAGCAGGUGACUGGGGUGAAGUCGUAACAAGGUACC
rnacentral:rRNA from 1 species